rnacentral:rRNA from 1 species
AACGAACGCUGGCGGCGUGCUUAACACAUGCAAGUCGAACGCGAAAGGGACUUCGGUCCUGAGUAAAGUGGCGCACGGGUGAGUAACGCGUGGAUAAUCUGCCCAAUGGUCUGGGAUAACAUCUCGAAAGGGGUGCUAAUACCGGAUAAGACCACGGGAUCUUAGGAUUCUGCGGUAAAAGGUGGGGACCUUCGGGCCUACCGUCAUUGGAUGAGUCCGCGUACCAUUAGCUAGUUGGUAGGGUAAUGGCCUACCAAGGCUACGAUGGUUAGCUGGGAUAGGAGGAUGAUCAGCCACACUGGAACUGAGACACGGUCCAGACUACUACGGGAGGCAGCAGUGGGGAAUUUUGCGCAAUGGGGGAAACCCUGACGCAGCAACGCCGCGUGAGUGAUGAAGGCCUUCGGGUCGUAAACCGCAUUCGGACGGAAAGAAAUCGCUUGGGUUAAUACCCUGAGUGGAUGACGGUACCGUAAGAAGAAGCACCGGCUAACUACGUGCCAGCCGCCGCGGUAAUAC